GCGUGGCGUAGUGGUUAGUGACCCUGACUACUGAUUGAGCCGAAGGUCCCGGGUUCGAUUCCCGGCUGGGGCA
rnacentral:tRNA from 1 species